UACGGGGGGGGGUAAGCGUUGUUCGGAAUUACUGGGCGUAAAGGGUGCGUAGGUGGCGCUGUAAGUCGGGUGUGAAAUUUCGGAGCUUAACUCCGAAACUGCAUUCGAUACUGCGGUGCUUGAGGACUGGAGAGGAGACUGGAAUUCAUGGUGUAGCAGUGAAAUGCGUAGAGAUCAUGAGGAAGACCAGUGGCGAAGGCGGGUCUCUGGACAGUUCCUGACACUGAGGCACGAAGGCCAGGGGAGCAAACGGG
rnacentral:rRNA from 1 species